UUGAAAUAUCUUUUUCCUUGAAUGUAACCAAGUUGGUGUUAAAGAGCAAAGCCUAUAGAGCAGGUAAAAACUUCUACUCUUCUUCUCCUUGAACUCAACACUCCAUAAACCCUGCUAUCUCAAGCUUUUACCACAUCAUUGAACUACAAACCCGAUUUGAACCCACGAAGUCUUGUCGUCUUCAAACACCAUAUCUGCAAUAUGAAGCCCACAGAGCAUCGUAGGACACGGUGAAGCCCUAACCCAGACCUGAAACCCUAAUCCGAAACUUAGAAAAUUUGUCCAUCCUCUGCCCAUAGAAGAACUAACCCAAAUAUUGUUGAUCUUAUGCAAUUGAUUGAAUGAGAAUUUACUGCCCACCCUAGGAUUUAGUGUCUUGGUAUCAAUACUUUGAUUUUAAUUGAUUUGUUACGUUAAUGUUGAUCUUCAAGUGGCGAACGUCGGAAAAGAGUCCUUACAAUGGGGACUGGCUGAGGAGUGUAUUCAGGUCUCACUUAUGGGCUAAAGGAGGCUUGUGGAGUUCAUGAUUGGGGAGAUGCAAUGUGUGAAUUCUUUGUAUGGACGAAUAUAUUACAGUUGCUAGAGGAAAACAUCUUAUUAAGAGAGACUAAGGCUUGGAAGACAUGGGAUGAUGUAUUAUAGCGCAAAUAUGCCGUUCGGAAAAAUGGAAGAUAAAGUGAGAGAAAUGACAAAGAAUCUAAAAAAGGAAAAGCGAAAGUUAUUGUAUUUGUAUUGGAUUGUCAUCUUUGUUAUUUUGUUUGCUUGGUUUGGAUAAAUUCCAUAUAAAAAGUCAUUAGGUUUAUUUUGACUGGUUUAAGUAACCAUCUAUCUUAUAAGGUGGUUCGUGCACACAAUAUUUGUGUAUAUUUUGUUUUUUUAUUUUGGGCUCUAAUAAGAAAUUUAGCUUUGAAUCCAU